rnacentral:rRNA from 1 species
GGGGAAUCUUCCGCAAUGGGCGCAAGCCUGACGGAGCAACGCCGCGUGAGUGAAGAAGGUUUUCGGAUUGUAAAACUCUGUCCAAAGGGAAGAACGUGACGGUACCUUUGGAGGAAGCCCCGGCUAACUACGUGCCAGCAGCCGCGGUAAAACGUAGGGGGCAAGCGUUGUCCGGAAUUACUGGGCGUAAAGGGCGUGUAGGCGGCCCUGCAAGUCAGACGUGAAACCUAUCGGCUCAACUGAUAGCUUGCGAUUGAAACUGCCGGGCUUGAGUACAGAAGAGGGGAGUGGAAUUCCCAGUGUAGCGGUGAAAUGCGUAGAUAUUGGGAGGAACACCGGUGGCGAAAGCGGCUCCCUGGCCUGUAACUGACGCUGAGGCGCGAAAGCGUGGGUAGCAAAC